AAAAAAUGUUUAGGGCUUGUUCUAUGCAAACUGAAAGUCUUUUUUUAUGUUAUGAUAAGUUCCCGUUUCUUCUUUCUUUUUUGGGUAAUAUUAGAAAGUAACCAUAGAAUUGAAAAGAAUGUAGUAACUAACCAUUGUCAGUUUAUAUGUGAGUAAAUAACCUUAUGACGGCAUAAGAAAAUACAAAAAUAUCCUUGCAAGUUGAACCAAAAGCAAGAGUAUGAAAAUAGCAUGAUAUUUAUAAAAAAGGUGACAUUUUAUAAUGUGUUAUAAGAAUAAAUAAUAUGUUAUAUGAAAAAGUAGCAUGUUGACAGAGAAAGAUUUCCAGUUAUAACGUGUAAUUCGAAAAAGUAGCAUGGUACAAAAGAAAAUAACAUACAAUUUAAAAAGAAAACAUAACGACGAUGAUUCCAAGAAAGAAUCAAAAUCGAACAAAAUAAAUAGCACGAUAUUUAUCAAAAAAGUGACAUUUUAUAAUGUGCUAUUAGAAUAAAUAAUUUGUUAUAUGGAAAAAUAGCAUGUUGUUUGAGAGAGAUUUUCAAUUAUAACGUGUAAUUCGAGAAAGUAGCAUGGUAAAAAAGAAAAUAACAUACAAUUUAAAAAGAAAACAUAACGACGGAGAUUCCAAGAAAGAAUCAAAAUCGAACAAAAUAAAAUGAGAAAUCUUCUGCAAAUUGAGGGAAAGAUGAUCCGUCAAUAUAAAUAACGUUUAGCAGCCUAAAUUUAUCGAAAAAGAGACUUGGUGGUUGUGAUGGUGGAAGAUGUGGUGGUUGUGGUGGUGGAAGAAAGAGAGAUGAGUGGUGGUUUGUUCGGAUUCAUCAAAAGUUUUUCGCCAUAUAAUCAUCUAAGUGUUCUGUGUGAUUUUGUAAAAUAGCAUGUAAUACAUAUAAAAUUCGACAAUGGGUAUAAAAGUAAUUGCAAAUGAUGAAAGAGAGUGUAUUCUGACACCAUAGUUACUUUGUUAAUUCUUUUACAAUUCAUAGUCAUUUUGUGCAUAUUCUCUUCUUUUUU
rnacentral:sRNA from 1 species